GUGAACGCUGGCGGUAGGCCUAACACAUGCAAGUCGAACGGCAGCACAGUAAGAGCUUGCUCUUACGGGUGGCGAGUGGCGGACGGGUGAGGAAUACAUCGGAAUCUACUUUUUCGUGGGGGAUAACGUAGGGAAACUUACGCUAAUACCGCAUACGACCUACGGGUGAAAGCAGGGGAUCUUCGGACCUUGCGCGAUUGAAUGAGCCGAUGUCGGAUUAGCUAGUUGGCGGGUAAAGGCCCACCAAGGCGACGAUCCGUAGCUGGUCUGAGAGGAUGAUCAGCCACACUGGAACUGAGACACGGUCCAGACUCCUACGGGAGGCAGCAGUGGGGAAUAUUGGACAAUGGGCGCAAGCCUGAUCCAGCCAUACCGCGUGGGUGAAGAAGGCCUUCGGGUUGUAAAGCCCUUUUGUUGGGAAAGAAAAGCAGCAGGUUAAUACCCCGCUGUUCUGACGGUACCCAAAGAAUAAGCACCGGCUAACUUCGUG
rnacentral:rRNA from 1 species